UGAGGAAUAUUGGGCAAUGCCCGAAAGGGUGACCCAGCAACGCCGCGUGGAGGAUGAAGGUCGUAAGAUUGUAAACUCCUGUUAGAGGGGAAGAAUAACUAAGUUUGGAGCUUAGUAUGACUGUACCCUCAGAGAAAGCCCCGGCUAACUACGUGCCAGCAGCCGCGGUAAUACGUAGGGGGCAAGCGUUGUCCGGAUUUACUGGGUGUAAAGGGCGCGCAGGCGGAAUGGAAAGUCAGUGGUGAAAUCCUACAGCUUAACUGUAGAACUGCCUUUGAUACUUUCAUUCUUGAGUUCGGGAGAGAGAGACGGAAUUCCAGGUGUAGUGGUGAAAUACGUAGAUAUCUGGAAGAACACCAGUUUGCGAAGGCGGUCUUCUUUGGUCCGAUACUGACGCUGAGGCGCGAAAGCGU
rnacentral:rRNA from 1 species